UACAGAGGUCUCAAGCGUUGUUCGGAUUCAUUGGGCGUAAAGUGUGCGCAGGCGGCCGCGCAAGUCGAGUGUGAAAGCCCCGAGCUUAACUUGGGAAUUGCGCUCGAAACUACGUGGCUGGAGUGUGGCAGAGGAAGGUGGAAUUCCUGGUGUAGCGGUGAAAUGCGCAGAUAUCAGGAGGAACACCGAUGGCGAAGGCAGGUCUCUGGGCCAUAACUGACGCUGAGAAGCGAAAGCAUGGGGAGCGAACAGG
rnacentral:rRNA from 1 species